rnacentral:rRNA from 1 species
CCUGGGUUGAUCCUGCCAGUAGUCAUAUGCUUGUCUCAAAGAUUAAGCCAUGCAUGUCUAAGUAUAAGCUUUAAACGGCGAAACUGCGAAUGGCUCAUUAAAACAGUUAUAGUUUAUUUGGUGAUCGAUUACUAUUUGGAUAACCGUAGUAAUUCUAGAGCUAAUACAUGCGUCAAGGCCCGACUUCGGAAGGGCUGCGUUUAUUAGAUACAGAACCAACCUAGGCUCCGCCUAGUCCUUGUUGGUGAUUCAUAAUAACCCGGCGAAUCGCACGGCUUGUCCGGCGAUGGACCAUUCAAGUUUCUGACCUAUCAGCUAUGGACGGUAGGGUAUUGGCCUACCGUGGCGUUGACGGGUAACGGGGAAUUAGGGUUCGAUUCCGGAGAGGGAGCCUGAGAAACGGCUACCACAUCUAAGGAAGGCAGCAGGCGCGCAAAUUACCCAAUCCUGAUACAGGGAGGUAGUGACAAGAAAUAACAAUACAGGGCAAUUCUGUCUUGUAAUUGGAAUGAGUAGAUUUUAAAUCUCUUUACGAGUAUCAAUUGGAGGGCAAGUCUGGUGCCAGCAGCCGCGGUAAUUCCAGCUCCAAUAGCGUAUAUUAAAGUUGUUGCGGUUAAAAAGCUCGUAGUUGGAUUUCUGCCUUGGGCGACCGAUCCACCUUUCCUACGGGAUUGGUCGGUAUCAGGUUUGACCUUGGCUUUUUCUUGGGAUUCGUGCUCACGUACUUAACUGUGCGUUGACCGUGUUCCAAGACUUUUACUUUGAGGAAAUUAGAGUGUUUCAAGCAGGCUUAUGCCAUGAAUACAUUAGCAUGGAAUAAUAGGAUAUGACUUCGGUCAUAUUUUGUUGGUUUCUAGGACUGAAGUAAUGAUUAAUAGGGACAGUCGGGGGCAUUCGUAUUUAACUGUCAGAGGUGAAAUUUCUUGGAUUUGGUAAAGACGAACUACUGCGAAAGCAUUUGCCAAGGAUGUUUUCAUUUGAUCCAGAACGAAAGUUAGGGGAUCGAGGACGAUCAGAUACCGUCCUAGUCUUAACCAUAAACUAUGCCCGACUA